rnacentral:rRNA from 1 species
AUUGAACGCUGGCGGCAUGCUUUACACAUGCAAGUCGAACGGUAACAGGCCGCAAGGUGCUGACGAGUGGCGAACGGGUGAGUAAUGCAUCGGAACGUGCCCAGUCGUGGGGGAUAACGCAGCGAAAGCUGUGCUAAUACCGCAUACGAUCUGUGGAUGAAAGCGGGGGACCGAAAGGCCUCGCGCGAUUGGAGCGGCCGAUGUCAGAUUAGGUAGUUGGUGGGGUAAAGGCUCACCAAGCCAACGAUCUGUAGCUGGUCUGAGAGGACGACCAGCACACUGGGACUGAGACACGGCCCAGACUCCUACGGGAGGCAGCAGUGGGGAAUUUUGGACAAUGGGCGCAAGCCUGAUCCAGCAAUGCCGCGUGCAGGAAGAAGGCCUUCGGGUUGUAAACUGCUUUUGUACGGAGCGAAAAGGCUCUCUCUAAUACAGGGGGCUCAUGACGGUACCGUAAGAAUAAGCACCGGCUAACUACGUGCCAGCAGCCGCGGUAAUAC